UCCCCCGGGCCCGGUUUGUUUUCCAUGGCACCGACCCCGCUCCUGCCUGCGGGGGCCCUUCCUCCGCCCUCCCGGCCCCCAAAAACCCCGUCCGCUCCCCCCAUCCCAGCGCCCCAAAAUCCCUCCUCGCCCCCAAAACCUCUCCCCCCCCAUCCCCGCCCCAUAAAUCGGGGUUUGUCCUCGCCACCCCCUGGGCAGGGCGUGGGUGGCCUCUGCAGGACACGAGGUGGCCUCCGGUGAGUUGUGACAGGGUUUGGGGACAGCGGGUGGCGGGGUGACCCCAGGGAGGGGCUGCGGGGCCGGGAAAGGGCGCGUGGGGCUCGAGGGGUGGAGCAGGGAGCAGGAGAAGGAGAUUCCAGAUCCACGGAGGUCACUCGGAGCUGUCCCUGCCCACGGAGGUCACUCGGAGGUGCCACUGACCAGGGAGGUCACUCCGAGGUGCCACUGACCAGGGCGGUCACUCGGAGCUGCCACUGACCAUGGAGGCCACCCGGAGGUGCCACUGCCCAGGGAGGUCACUCGGAGGUGCCACUGACCACGGAGGUCACCCAGAGGUGCCACUGACCACGGAGGUCACUCAGAGCUGUCCCUGUCCUGGGAGGUCACUCAGAGGUGCCACUGACCACUGAGGUCACCCGGAGGUGCCACUGACCACUGAGGUCACUCAGAGGUGCCACUGCCCACGGUGGUCACCCGGAGGUGCCACUGACCGCUGAGGUCACCCGGAGCUGCCACUGACCACGGUGGUCACUCAGAGGUGCCACUGACCACUGAGGUCACUCAGAGGUGCCACUGACCACAGAGGUCACCCAGAGGUGCCACUGACCACUGAGGUCACUCAGAGGUGCCACUGCCCAUGGAGGUCACCCAGAGGUGCCACUGACCACAGAGGUCACUCAGAGCUGUCCCUGCCCACGGAGGUCACCCAGAGGUGCCACUGACCACGGAGGUCACUCAGAGGUGCCACUGACCACUGAGGUCACUCGGAGGUGCCACUGACCACUGAGGUCACUCAGAGGUGCCACUGACCACAGAGGUCACCCAGAGGUGCCACUGACCACAGAGGUCACUCAGAGGUGCCACUGCCCAUGGAGGUCACCCAGAGGUGCCACUGACCACAGAGGUCACUCAGAGCUGUCCCUGCCCACGGAGGUCACCCAGAGGUGCCACUGACCACGGAGGUCACUCAGAGGUGCCACUGACCACAGAGGUCACCCAGAGGUGCCACUGACCACUGAGGUCACUCAGAGGUGCCACUGACCACAGAGGUCACCCAGAGGUGCCACUGACCACAGAGGUCACUCAGAGCUGUCCCUGCCCAUGGAGGUCACCCAGAGGUGCCACUGACCACAGAGGUCACCCAGAGGUGCCACUGCCCACGGAGGUCACUCGGAGCUGUCCCCCAGCGCCACCUCCUCGUCCCUGCCGCCAAUUCCCCAGGAAACUUUGGAAAACGGCCUUCCUGGGAAUUCCAUCCCGCCGAUUUCCGGCCUGGGAAUGUCGAGAGGGAUCCUGGAGCCCCGCCCACCCCAAACUGGUCCAACUGGGGCGGCUCCAGCGAGGAUCCGGGGAUGGAGCCGGGAGGAGCGGGAUCCCCCCUUCUUCCCGGGAAAAGCUCCAUCCUCAUUCCCCGGGAUGCUUUGGGAUUCCCAGCGGGAAUUUUUCCCGGGAAAAGCUCCAUCCUCAUCCCCCGGGAUGCUUUGGGAUUCCCAGCGGGAAUUUUUCCCGGGAAAAGCUCCAUCCUCAUCCCCCGGGAUGCUUUGGGAUUCCCAGCGGGAAUUUUUCCCGGGAAAAGCUCCAUCCUCAUCCCCCGGGAUGCUUUGGGAUUCCCAGCGGGAAUUUUUCCCGGGAAAAGCUCCAUCCUCA